rnacentral:lncRNA from 1 species
UGUGUGUGUAUGUGUAUGUAUGUUGUUACAGGGUGGUUAACUUCGCCAGCGGCCCCCUUUCCCGGGGCAGUCCCUGCUCUCCCCUGCUAGAGGGGCACCCUAAUCCGUCACCCCAUCCGACUUCAGAAUGUAUUCGUUGGGUUCGGCAACUCACCACCAGCAUCCAACCAAAUCUAGCGGAUCAACGGCGCAUCAACUUAGUUCCUGGUCAGCUCGCAAGUUGAUAUUAUCACGUCCUACACCGUCCAUAAGAUGGGGGGCCACCUCCCAUUUCAUCACUCCUCAAACACCCGAGGAGCCGGCAGGCGGAUUUGAACCCGGGUCGACUGGGUCGACUGGGAGCAGAAGUCAGGCCUUAACCUCUGCCAGCCGCCUGCCUAUAUAUAUGUGUAUGUAUGUGUGAAGGUUACAAGUAUUUGACCGGGCCUGACGACACUGGCCACAGGGGCUGCUGCCCAGCCCCAACGGAAAACCCGCCUAAGCUCUCUCUCUCCCCCGCGGACGGGAGAGCGGCGCUAGAUGGGCCUCAUCCCCCUCCUAAGCAGCCGAGAGCUGCAGGUCCCCUCUCCUCCCCUGGGGGGUGGGGAGGGGGGAAGAAGCGUGUGUAUGUGGAUGUCUUUGUGCAUAGGAUAACAUCGACAGGUGUGUACAAAUAGCUUUAGUUAUGAAAGACCACGACAACCUUAAAAAUGUGGACGUAUGCUAGGUAUGGUUACAAUUGUAUUGGUUGUUUCUUAUUUCAUGUCUUUACAUUUUAUGUUCUAAUAUAAGGGAUAAUUGUUUUGCAGUUGGUACGGCAAGCGGUGGGAGGCGUCAACGGGGCCGAAGGGUCCCCUGAAGGAGCGGCUGCCAUCCUCGCCGCGCGGGACGGCCACAUUGCGGAACUGACGAUCAUGACGGUUGAUGCACUGGCGGUGCCGUACGAUACGACAAACCGUACACCAGUGACCGCCAAGGACGAUCCCGUUAUCUGCAUUGGCUGUGAUGUACGAACGUACGGCACAACGUCACGGCCAGCGGUGGGGCCAGAUUUGUGUGCACAGGACAGUCCAGGGUUGGCGGAGGCGGGGCGUCUUGACGUCAGCAGCGGCGGCGGCAGCGGCGGCGGUGGCGGCGGCGGCAGCGGUGGCGGCGAUAUCCAGCAGGCGUGCACGCGGGGCUCUGUGGUUGUGUUUUUGGUGGCAGGUGAGUUGGUGAGUGCGGUUGGCUCCGGGGAUUGGUUGGGGUUUUAAAGUACGUGUAAUAGCAACAGCAACAGCAAUAGCAACAGCAGCAGUAGCAACAUGGGCUUUUACUGUCUGUAAGUGUGUAUGUGCGUCCUUGCGCCCUUUCAGCCGUACUAGAUGGGAACAUCGGGCCGUACAUCAAAAAGCCCCUGUUGCUACUGCUGCUGUUGCUAUUGCUGUUGCUACUGCUGCUGUUGCUGCUACUCAUGCUGCCACUCAUGCCCCUGCUGCUGCUGAUGUUGUGUAAAAUACCCAGUGUGGGCCCUCUCCCCUUUCUCCCCCCCCCUUCCUCUCCCCUUGCCCCGGCAGCAGCUUCACUAGUUUGUGGUUCGUCUUUCCCCCCCCCCUUCCCCGCCCAAUACCAUCCCCCAACCCCUCCCGUACAUCUCCCCCCUUUACCGGCAGGUAGCGCUCUGACCCACGGGUCACCCCCGCUAACGAGAGCAGCACUCCAGGGAGCAGAGCUGAGGUGCUUUGACAGCGAGCGGGAAAUGCUGCUGGUGAGGGGGGGAUGACGGGGACUGGCACAGGCACGCAUACACGGCACACGCCCGCUCACCUCUUACCCCCCAAAAGAGCCCCACAAGUGGUUCCCCCCCUUCCCACACGCAGGCUUGGAAGGAGUGGCUGUUGGAAGUGGAUCCGGACAUUGUCACCACGUACCAGGUCCGGGUUCAGGGGGGCAGGGAGGGCUGAGGACUCGGAAAGGGAGGGGUGUCUGGAUGCUAUGUGUUUAGUGAAGAGUGAGGGAAUAUGAGGUUGUGGAGAGGAGGCCGGAAUAAUUACAGGUUCGCAGUGACAUAAAAGGAUAUCUUUGUGGGCCUGCUAGAAUAAUCCUUUCCGUUUUGCAGUACAUGUGUACGGAUUGACGUACAUUCAAAUCCUUAGCGCAGGUUCGGGAUACGUUAGGUGCGAUCCGGGACCGCUUCGAGAGGCUGCGGCUCGAGGGAGGGGGUUUGCUGGUAUCGCGGAUGGCGCCAGUGUACGGCAGUGGUGGCACCGGUGGGGCCGUCGCCGCGUCUCCGUUGACCGUUAAGACCGUUGUGAUGUACAGCGCGGCGUGGGUGAAGCGGCAGGGCCGCAUGUCCUCCAACAGCAACCAGGUAUCUAUCUAGCUGGGGGGGGAGAGGGGAGGGAGGGGGAGGGGGAGGGGGGGAGAGAGGGGAGGGAGGGGGACGGGGAGGGGGGGAGAGAGGGGAGGGGGAGAGGGGAAGGUGCUUAGGGACACGUUUGCUUUGCAUGUAUAACUCCUGUAUGAAUGUAUGUAUGAACUAUAUAUAAAUAUAUGAUGUUGGCAAACACAUGCACGCGGAAGUACCUUGAUGUAUCUCUUUCCCCCCCUCCCUCUCUCUCUCUCUCCCGUCUCCUCAACCCCCCCUCCACACACGCACCCCCUCCCCAAACACCCCUCCCCCAGGAAACCUUUCAGGCAGAAGUCAGGGGCCGUGUUGUUGUGGACGUGUUGCGCCAGGUAGGGUGCGGGGCGUGCAGGAGGAGGAGGAGGGGGGGUAGGCUGAGGAGGUAAGAGGGAUUGUGUGCUGGUUGUACAGCAGCUGUUGGGGCGAUGGGGGGUUUCUGGUUUAGGAAAACGGACAUCAUCCUUCAUAGCAAACUCUACGUACUUUUACCUGUGUGUACUUUAAAUACAUACGUGUAUGUGUGUGUAUGUGUAUGUGUGCGUGUGUGUGUAUUUGUGUUGCAGCUGUAGCAGAGCCGAUGGCUUCGGGCCGUCUGGCCUAAAUUUGAAUUCUGGUCUAGGAUUGAGCGCCAUAGGAGGGCGCCAUACUCCUUAUCCACCGCCACAAUGGGACCAGGAACUUAGGGUUUUGCUAAAUGCAGCGGUGUCACCAGACAAUACCAUAAUUUGUAAAGGCCACGUAAUCACAUACACAUGUGUGUCCGUGUGUACGUGAUGUAUGUACGUAUGUAUGUAUGUCCAGGUGUUGACCUCCCAAUCGUUAGCGACCUUCAGCCUGGUGGACUGCUGCCAGGUGGGUCGCGGGUGGGAGGGGAGGGGAGGGGAUAAAAGGGGGGUUGAGGGGUAAGGGGGGUUUGAGGGGUAAGGGGGGUUUGAGGGGUAAGGGGGGUUUGAGGGGUAAGGGGGGUUUGAGGGGUAAGGGAGGGUUAAGAGGAGAAGUUACGCACACCGAUAACUUGAAUCCUGGCUGUGCCAACCCCCGGGGGCCGUUUCGGAAGCCCCCCCCUUCCCCCCUCCCAGGUGUCCUAUCUGUUAGGGAGGGCUUUGAAACACAGUCGCGUGUCAUUUCCUCCGCCCCCUCCACACCUUGCUCCGGUUUAACCCCCCUCAAUUUCCCGCACUUUUCAUGUUGUGAGAAAUUUGAAAUUCGCAACUGAAGCCUCCCUGGCCCUCUGCCCUCUGCCCUUACACACGACCUCCUCCCACUGACCCAAUCCCCGACCCUGGCGCUUCGCUUUGCAACCCCACCCCAACCCCUCUGCCAACUGCUAACGGCCAACUGCUAACGGCCAACUGCCAACUGCCCAACCCCACUGUACACAUGCGGUCGUAUGCGGCAAACCACUGAUGUGAUGAGGAGCCCGGAGCCCACUGAUUGUGUGUAUGUAUGAAUGUAUAUAUGUAUGUAUUUGUAUGUAUGUAUGCCCUAGGGUUUCUUAAACUGUCUGUCUGUGUGUUUGUGUCUGUGUGUCUGUGUGUCUGUACGGCUUAUGGCGCAGACCCUGCUGGGUGAGACGCUGGAGGUGUUGGGUCCGUUCCACCUGGCGAGGCUGGCGGCGGAGGCGCAGGGACGGCAGUCGCUGCCGCCAGCAGCAGCAGCAGCGGCAGCGGCGGCGGCGGCGGAUGCGGCGGCGGCCGCGGCCCCGGCGGCCCCGGCUUCUGAACAGUGGCAGGCCGCCGCAGCUGCAGCGGCGCGCAUCACAUCGUACAUUGUACGGCGUGUGGAUGUCAUCGUACGACUUACGUCGCGGCUGGCGACGCUGCCGGAGGCUUUUGAGAUGGCGCGUGUGACAGGGCUCACGAUACCACAGGUGUACGACUUGCCGUACAGAGCAUAACAAGGGUACAUGCCGUUUGUUGGCAUCAAAGUUGUCUUUCUCUCCCGGACACACCACUGCCGUACUGCCCCCCUCCACGUACAGGGCCAUCUUUUCCGGAGGACUACACUCUCCGAAACCAGGAACAUUAUUUGAAAUUCCAAUAUAAUAAGAAAAUUAGUCAAUUUAAUGGAGUUGCAAGUUCUGAGGAUCGAAGAUGAGAUUUUGAGGUCCAAUUCUGGUCCCAGCUUUCCUGGAGUCCAUUCUUUUUUUCUCUUUGACGUUCUGUUUGAAUUAGCAGCUUCGUCAAAUUGGACAACCUCGUCGGUUUUGGUCUAUCCGGGGAGCUUCUUUCCCCCUCAGGCUGUCCGUCUCCCCGUCUGCAGACCCCCGACCACUCUAAUUUAAAGCCACCUCCUCAGAACGGGCGGUGGGGUCCCUGUGGUGGCACUGGCCGGGGGUAGGCCCCAAGUAGACAGCCCAGUUUCGGGGCCUCGUCUCAUUGCGUACCGUACGUGCCGUACAGGUUAUGUACAACGCCCAGAUGAUUCGUACAUGGAGUCUUUUACACCGCAACGCGCACCGCCAAAAGUGCGUGUGGAGGGGAUUGGGGGGCUAUACGUAUGUGUGUGUGGGGGGGGUGGGGGGUUGGGGGUUGGGGUGGGAGUGUGUUUGUCGCGUGCUUGGGGGAAAGGGUGUUGCGCUGGGGAGCUCCCUGGAGAGCGGGUUGGGGGGUUGGGAAUGCGGAGUCAGAGGGGGAGUCUAGGAGGGUUUCAACCUGUUGUUGGGUUUUAGGGUUUUAGGGUUUUAGGGUUUUAGCCUCAGCAUUUGCGCUGCAUCCAUUUGGGAGAACCUCGGUCGGAUAGUCGCAUCUCUGAACCUCUGAUCCGGAUCCAAACCCGGAUCCAAACCCGGGUUUGAAGUUUGUAUUCCCACCCCUAGGCGCACCCUUCGCUAGUAUUUAACUUCUUUAUGAAAAUGAUGUCGCGUUGAUAUCGCCGCCUUACUGCAGCCGCUGCCUCCUCCCCCUCCCCCUCCUACUCAGCUACAUUAUUGGCGGGCGGCAAGAGGCGGGAAAUCUGAUUGAGAGUCCCUUUCUGCUGCACCCCGUAGAAAACCUUACGGCGGGUAAGAUCAGGUUGCGGCGAAGAGGAAGGGAACGAGGGCGCAUUAUUAUUAUUUAAUAUUAUUUUUUUGUUACUAUUAUUAUUUUUAUUACUAUUAUUUGCUUGGUUUUAUUUUUGGUUCAAGGGUUGGGUUUAGUGAUGGUUUUAGUCCUUAAGGGGUCGAGGGUAAGCCGUCGAAGCGGAUGCUUCUUAGGGCCUUGCUUUUUUUCCCCCUUAUUCUAAAAAUUGCCUUUACUUGCUUGUCCUUGUUAUCCCUUUUCGCAGGCACCAGAGACUGCCGUACACACAAUUAGCAAGUUUCUUGUGCUCGUCCCAUUCCCCCUCGUCAUUCCCUACCCUAGCCCUACCCUGGGGUAUCCCCUUGGGGUCUGGAACUCGAUAUAAUACCUGCUACUGCUACUGCUACUGCUACUGCUACUGCUACUACUCCCUGCCUGCAUACAGUGUAUGGACUCAUUAACAGGCUCAUUAAGCAUAAAGAGCGGGUGUCUUGUAUGGUUGAAUGCUCGUCCAGGUUUGUACCGCACUCCGGUGGCCACUCUGGACUUCGCCUCGCUGUAUCCCUCCCUUUACCGCGCGUACAACCUGUGCUAUACGACACUCGUCCACCCUGAUGACGUGGACACCGUGGGCAGGGAGCGGUGCGGCUUCACCCCCACGGGACACGCGUUCGUGAAACCCGAGGUGCGUUCGGAACUCCCCUCCCCUCCCCUCCCCGGCUGUUUCCUUGGGGAAACAGGUUUUGCGCCGUACAAAAUUCCCCCCUCCUCUUUCCUGCGGCGUGCGCUCUCUCUGCCCCUCUCUUCCCCCGCCAUUUCCCGUCGCCCGUUGGUCGUACGCAAAACCCAAAACGGCUUGUUUGCCGUUUGCACUUGUUUGCUGCUAUGGGAGUGUGUCUUCUCUCCGGGGACCUGUGGGUUGCGGUCUGGAAGGGGGAGGGGGAGGGGGGAGUGGGGGAAUCCCCCCGGGGGUCGACGGGGAUCGCUUGAAGGCCGCCACUCGGCGCCUCACCUAUGUUACUCCGGAACCAUACGGUCCUGCAGCAGGGCCUUAUCCGCAAAUACAUCGACAUACAUACAUACAUACAUACUUACUUCAGUCGGUAGAUUUGCUCGGGGGCAACCCCCGGGAUUUCCCUUUUCGUGUUUCAGCGGAUUAGAAAGCACUUGCACAUGUACGGUACGGUACAUGGACCGACCUACAGACAUACAUAAAAGACAUAUCACAGACAUACAGACGUGGAUACAUACAUGCACGGUUUUUUUUCAGGUUCGGCCCGGUAUCCUUCCCACCAUCCUGGCCGCUCUCAUGUCCGCCCGCGCCGCCACACGAGCCAAGCUCAAGGCCGUACAGUACGACGCCGCUGCCGCUGCCGUACUGGACUCCCGCCAAAAGGCGCUCAAGAUCACGGCCAAUGCACUGUACGGCUUUACUGGUGCGGUACACCGUACAUGCGACACACGCGUAAACCCCUUUGACCCCUUAACCCCCUCUAAACCCCUUCAAGUUGUACGGAGAGCCGUACGGCGCGCAUGCCGUACACCGUACGGCACAUCCCAAAUGAUAUGCCAUUUGUAAUUCUCUUUGCCUGCGAAGGCUAGACAUUACUCAACACACACACACACACACGCUUCGACAGAAUCGACUUUUCCAUUCGCACAUGCGCACAACAAUACACACAUGCCCUCCGUCUCUCCCCCCUUGCGGUAUCAGACAUUAGGUAACAGAUGAAAGGUCCCGGGCCCUCCGACCCCGCGCAGGCGCUGCCGCCUCCCCCCUCCAGUGCCUCCCCUUGGCGGAUAGCUGCCUGGCCUACGGGGCAGCGGCGUGCAGGGCUGCCGUACAAACGAUCACACACGCGAUGGAAGCGGCGUCAGCUGCAGCUGACGGAGCAGCUGACGUCGGAGGCGCUGGCGGCGGCGGCGGCGGCGGUGCGGGACUGCUCGGUCCGGCGGCGGCUGGUGGGCGAGUUAUCUACGCACAGACCGACAGCGUGUUCGUACACUUCCCCAGGUAGUUGGGGUCCCAAGGGGGGAUACUGAGGAAUGAAAGUACGACGGUGCGGAUGUGCAGCGGGGGAGGUAGGGGGAUCAGCUGUUCAUCCCCCAACCUGUACGGAGGUAGCAGGGGCUCCGAGGUUAAACGCGUGUUGGGGUCGUGGUGGUGGUGAUUGUGUUGGUGACAUAUACACACACACGAGUAUGACCUUGCUUCCCCGCCCUCCCCCCCCGUAAACCAUCGUCCCACACGCGCGCGCACGCGCGGGCGGUACAUCGUACGUACGGUGGAUGCCUCUGGAAAGGGCCACUCCGGAAGAAGCUGUACGGCUUGGGAAGCAGGUACGGCAUUUGUACGGUGUUCCUUUUGAGUCAGCUGCACACAUACUUGCAUACACACAAACACACACCCGCACGGCCCCUCAAACCCUCUCCCCGGAACCUCACUGACUGCCCCUCUCCACCCCCUCGCCCCCCGCCCCUCACCCCCUUCAAACCCCCCCUUCCCCCCAUCACCCCCCUUUCCCUCUCUUGCAUACGCUCUCCCCACCCAGGCCGCUGCUCUGGUUACCUCCUCUCUGCCACUUCCCAUGGAGCUCAAGUACGAGAAGGUGAUGGCGCCCUUCCUGCUGCUGCACGUGAACCGGUAUGCGGGCAGGGCCAUGGAGACGGAGGAGGACGCAGCAAGCCCAGAGACCCGUGGGUCGCUACUGGUGAGUCCUUUAUUUUGUCUCAAUGACCGAAGGCGAAGGAAGGGUAAGUGAGACAGACCCAUGGGUCAUUGUAAGACCCCCGUGGCUAUAUCUUCAAUGGCAGAAAUAUUUUGAACUUUCAUAUUUUUUUCUCUUCCCAAUUUUAAGUUACCGGCCAUGUCGUAAAGCUUACAUCAUGUGGUCAUGGGUGAGAAAUUAAUUUUGACAUAAUAUUCUCUUUUUGCUUCUUUUUUUGUUGCAUCAAUUUUUAUAUGGUUCCUCUUUACCCCCCAUCUCACCCCCCCGGCAUACAACGUACAAUCCUCUUUCCCCCCCCCCGUCACACCCCCAAACCCCCACACCACCCCCCAGGUAAAGGGUGUCCGCAGUAUGUGGCGGCAAAGUGCCCCCUUGGUGAGUCAGGUACUGCAGGGCUCCCUGGAGCGGAUCCUAAUGCGAGGUGACGUGGCAGCCGCGGUGUCGUACGCCGAGAACCAGAUACGGCGGCUGCUGUCCGGUCGGGUCGAUCUGGGGGAGCUGGCAAUGACCGGGGGUGCGUUGGGCCGGGGGAGGGUUUGAGAGGUGUGGGGUUAAGAGUGGUAAGUUGCGGGUACGGUGUACGGGAGGAAAGGGCAUGACGCAAGGACACAGGGAUAGACAGACAGAUAGACAGACAGACAGAUAGACAGCUGUACGAUGUGUGAAACAGGGGGGUGUAUCUUCGCCCGUGGCAGCUACCCUGCGAAACCCUGCCUUCCCCGGUAUUUCGGGGCACCCUCAUCCAGUCACCCUAGUCAACUUCUCAGUGAUCGNNNNNNNNNNNNNNNNNNNNNNNNNNNNNNNNNNNNNNNNNNNNNNNNNNNNNNNNNNNNNNNNNNNNNNNNNNNNNNNNNNNNNNNNNNNNNNNNNNNNNNNNNNNNNNNNNNNNNNNNNNNNNNNNNNNNNNNNNNNNNNNNNNNNNNNNNNNNNNNNNNNNNNNNNNNNNNNNNNNNNNNNNNNNNNNNNNNNNNNNNNNNNNNNNNNNNNNNNNNNNNNNNNNNNNNNNNNNNNNNNNNNNNNNNNNNNNNNNNNNNNNNNNNNNNNNNNNNNNNNNNNNNNNNNNNNNNNNNNNNNNNNNNNNNNNNNNNNNNNNNNNNNNNNNNNNNNNNNNNNNNNNNNNNNNNNNNNNNGCGCAAUGCCUUCCACCAUCGGAAGGACUUUUGACCCUAAUGGGUAUCGAUCCCGGGAUCUCGAGCUGUAUGUAUGUAUGUUGUUACAGGGUGGUUAACUUCGCCAGCGGCCCCCUUUCCCGGGGCAGUCCCUGCUCUCCCCUGCUAGAGGGGCACCCUAAACCGUCACCCCAUCCGACUUCAGAAUGUAUUCGUUGGGUUCGGCAACUCACCACCAGCAUCCAACCAAAUCUAGCGGAUCAACGGCGCAUCAACUUAGUUCCUGGUCAGCUCGCAAGUUAUUUUAUCACCUCCUACAUCGUCCAUAUGAUGGGGGGCCACCUCCCAAUUCAACACUCCUCAAACACCCGAGGAGCCGGCAGGCGGAUUUAAACCCGGGUCGGCCGGGAGCAGAAGUCAGGCCUUAACCUCUGCCAGCCGCCAGUAUGUAUGUAUGUAUGUAUGCAUGCGAUCAAACACAACUUACUUUUCAACCUUGCUGUCGUACACACAUAUACACACACACGCACACUCGCACACGCACGCAGGCCUUUGGCGCAUCACGGGACAGCAAGUCGCGGCGGCGGCGGCAGCAGCUGGUAAGAGCAGCUCCCCCGCAACCCCACUCGCUCACCACCACCCACCCAGCCCAGCUCCCACGAC